rnacentral:rRNA from 1 species
UACGUAGGGUGCGAGCGUUAAUCGGAAUUACUGGGCGUAAAGUGUGCGCAGGCGGCCGGGCAAGUCGAGUGUGAAAGCCCCGAGCUUAACUUGGGAAUUGCGCUCGAAACUACGUGGCUGGAGUGUGGCAGAGGUAGGUGGAAUUCCAGGUGUAGCGGUGAAAUGCGUAGAGAUCUGGAGGAACACCGAUGGCGAAGGCAGCCUUCUGGGCCAACACUGACGCUCAUGCACGAAAGCGUGGGGAGCAAACAGG